rnacentral:rRNA from 1 species
GACGAACGCUGGCGGCGUGCUUAACACAUGCAAGUCGAACGGAAAGGCCCUGCUUUUGUGGGGUGCUCGAGUGGCGAACGGGUGAGUAACACGUGAGUAACCUGCCCUUGACUUUGGGAUAACUUCAGGAAACUGGGGCUAAUACCGGAUAGGAGCUCCUGCUGCAUGGUGGGGGUUGGAAAGUUUCGGCGGUUGGGGAUGGACUCGCGGCUUAUCAGCUUGUUGGUGGGGUAGUGGCUUACCAAGGCUUUGACGGGUAGCCGGCCUGAGAGGGGGACCGGCGGCACUGGAACGGAGCCGCGGGCCAGAGGACUACGGGAGGGAGCAGUAGGGAAUCUUCGGAAGCGGGCGAGAGGCGGGCGGAGCAGCGGCGCGUGGGUGGUGAAGGUCUUGGGAUCGUGAAGAUGGGUUAGUGGGGAAGAACAAAAGUGUAAGGAACGAUGCACGUCGUGACGGUGCCGAAUAAGAAAGCCACGGCUAACUACGGG